GAGUUUGAUCAUGGCUCAGAUUGAACGCUGGCGGCAGGCUUAACACAUGCAAGUCGAGCGGGGGAAGGUAGCUUGCUACCGGACCUAGCGGCGGACGGGUGAGUAAUGCUUAGGAAUCUGCCUAUUAGUGGGGGACAACAUCUCGAAAGGGAUGCUAAUACCGCAUACGUCCUACGGGAGAAAGCAGGGGAUCUUCGGACCUUGCGCUAAUAGAUGAGCCUAAGUCGGAUUAGCUAGUUGGUGGGGUAAAGGCCUACCAAGGCGACGAUCUGUAGCGGGUCUGAGAGGAUGAUCCGCCACACUGGGACUGAGACACGGCCCAGACUCCUACGGGAGGCAGCAGUGGGGAAUAUUGGACAAUGGGGGGAACCCUGAUCCAGCCAUGCCGCGUGUGUGAAGAAGGCCUUAUGGUUGUAAAGCACUUUAAGCGAGGAGGAGGCUACUUUAGUUAAUACCUAGAGAUAGUGGACGUUACUCGCAGAAUAAGCACCGGCUAACUCUGUGCCAGCAGCCGCGGUAAUACAGAGGGUGCGAGCGUUAAUCGGAUUUACUGGGCGUAAAGCGUGCGUAGGCGGCUUAUUAAGUCGGAUGUGAAAUCCCCGAGCUUAACUUGGGAAUUGCAUUCGAUACUGGUGAGCUAGAGUAUGGGAGAGGAUGGUAGAAUUCCAGGUGUAGCGCCGUGAAAUGCGUAGAGAUCUGGAGGAAUACCGAUGGCGAAGGCAGCCAUCUGGCCUAAUACUGACGCUGAGGUACGAAAGCAUGGGGAGCAAACAGGAUUAGAUACCCUGGUAGUCCAUGCCGUAAACGAUGUCUACUAGCCGUUGGGGCCUUUGAGGCUUUAGUGGCGCAGCUAACGCGAUAAGUAGACCGCCUGGGGAGUACGGUCGCAAGACUAAAACUCAAAUGAAUUGACGGGGGCCCGCACAAGCGGUGGAGCAUGUGGUUUAAUUCGAUGCAACGCGAAGAACCUUACCUGGCCUUGACACCAUACUAGAAACUUUCCAGAGAUGGAUUGGUGCCUUCGGGAAUCUAGAUACAGGUGCUGCAUGGCUGUCGUCAGCGCGUGUCGUGAGAUGUUGGGUUAAGUCCCGCAACGAACGCGCAACCCUUUUCCUUACUUGCCAGCAUUUCGGAUGGGAACUUUAAGGAUACUGCCAGUGACAAACUGGAGGAAGGCGGGGACGACGUCAAGUCAUCAUGGCCCUUACGGCCAGGGCUACACACGUGCUACAAUGGUCGGUACAAAGGGUUGCUACACAGCGAUGUGAUGCUAAUCUCAAAAAGCCGAUCGUAGUCCAGGGAUUGGAGUCUGCAACUCGACUCCAUGAAGUCGGAAUCGCUAGUAAUCGCGGAUCAGAAUGCCGCGGUGAAUACGUUCCCGGGCCUUGUACACACCGCCCGUCACACCAUGGGAGUUUGUUGCACCAGAAGUAGCUAGCCUAACUGCAAAGAGGGCGGUUACCACGGUGUGGCCGAUGACUGGGGUGAAGUCGUAACAAGGUA
rnacentral:rRNA from 2 species